rnacentral:rRNA from 1 species
GGGUACCUACAGAAGAAGUCCUGGCUAACUCCGUGCCAGCAGCCGCGGUAAUACGGAGAGGGCUAGCGUUAUUCGGAAUUAUUGGGCGUAAAAGGGCGCGUAGGCUGAUUAGUAAGUUAAAAGUGAAAUCCCAAAGCUCAACUUUGGAAUUGCUUUUAAAACUGCUAAUCUAGAGGUUGAAAGAGGAUAGAGGAAUUCCUAGUGUAGAGGUGAAAUUCGUAAAUAUUAGGAGGAACACCAGUGGCGAAGGCGUCUAUCUGGUUCAAAUCUGACGCUGAGGCGCGAAGGCGUGGGGAGCAAACAGGAUUAGAUACCCUGGUAGUCCACGCUGUAAACAUGAGUGCUAAGGA